GCCGCGUUGGCACAGUGGUUAGCGCAUCUCACUUGUAUGAGCAAUGAGAAGGUCACUCGUUCAACUCGGGUACGUGGCA